ACCGGCGAUACCCGAAUGGGGAAACCCAGUGUGACUCGUCACACUAUCAUUAACUGAAUCCAUAGGUUAAUGAGGCGAACCGGGGGAACUGAAACAUCUAAGUACCCCGAGGAAAAGAAAUCAACCGAGAUUCCCCCAGUAGCGGCGAGCGAACGGGGAGGAGCCCAGAGCCUGAAUCAGCAUGUGUGUUAGUGGAAGCGUCUGGAAAGGCGCGCGAUACAGGGUGACAGCCCCGUACACAAAAGCGCAUGUGCUGUGAGCUCGAUGAGUAGGGCGGGACACGUGGUAUCCUGUCUGAAUAUGGGGGGACCAUCCUCCAAGGCUAAAUACUCCUGACUGACCGAUAGUGAACCAGUACCGUGAGGGAAAGGCGAAAAGAACCCCGGCGAGGGGAGUGAAAAAGAACCUGAAACCGUGUACGUACAAGCAGUGGGAGCCCCACCACCAAAGCAUUUGCUGUACCGCGUUGACGGAGCGAAGCGACGUCAAACCGAUAAAACAGCAGUGUAAAGUGAGCCGCAGGGCGCUUUGCGCGACAGCGCAAAGGCAGGCGGUUUCGCGUAGCGAAAGCGAAUGCUUUGGGGUGGGGUGACUGCGUACCUUUUGUAUAAUGGGUCAGCGACUUAUAUUCUGUAGCAAGGUUAACCGAAUAGGGGAGCCGGAGGGAAACCGAGUCUUAAUUGGGCGUUAAGUUGCAGGGUAUAGACCCGAAACCCGGUGAUCUAGCCAUGGGCAGGUUGAAGGUUGGGUAACACUAACUGGAGGACCGAACCGACUAAUGUUGAAAAAUUAGCGGAUGACCUGUGGCUGGGGGUGAAAGGCCAAUCAAACCGGGAGAUAGCUGGUUCUCCCCGAAAGCUAUUUAGGUAGCGCCUCGUGAAUUCAUCUCCGGGGGUAGAGCACUGUUUCGGCUAGGGGGCCAUCCCGGCUUACCAACCCGAUGCAAACUGCGAAUACCGGAGAAUGUUAUCACGGGAGACACACGGCGGGUGCUAACGUCCGUCGUGAAGAGGGAAACAACCCAGACCGCCAGCUAAGGUCCCAAAGUCAUGGUUAAGUGGGAAACGAUGUGGGAAGGCCCAGACAGCCAGGAUGUUGGCUUAGAAGCAGCCAUCAUUUAAAGAAAGCGUAAUAGCUCACUGGUCGAGUCGGCCUGCGCGGAAGAUGUAACGGGGCUAAACCAUGCACCGAAGCUGCGGCAGCGACACUGUGUGUUGUUGGGUAGGGGAGCGUUCUGUAAGCCUGUGAAGGUGUGUCGUGAGGCAUGCUGGAGGUAUCAGAAGUGCGAAUGCUGACAUAAGUAACGAUAAAGCGGGUGAAAAGCCCGCUCGCCGGAAGACCAAGGGUUCCUGUCCAACGUUAAUCGGGGCAGGGUGAGUCGACCCCUAAGGCGAGGCCGAAAGGCGUAGUCGAUGGGAAACGGGUUAAUAUUCCCGUACUUGGUGUUACUGCGAAGGGGGGACGGAGAAGGCUAUGUUGGCCGGG
rnacentral:rRNA from 2 species